AUUUUCAGUGACAGAGAACCAGAACGCUGAUACUAAAACAAGUCCCACGGACGUGACGGAGAAAAUAAGUCCCACAUGAGUCCUACGUGAGUCCCACAGAACCAGAAUAAGAUUGCAGGGAAACAAGCCUUGUUACAAGGUUUGAGGGUCUCUGCUAGAAUCAUGUGGACCCCAGUGUAACAAAUCUAUGGAAAGAGAGAAAAUCUCAGCUCAAGGGUCAACAUGUCUUUAUUCCAAGAAAGAGUGUACAUAUGCCAGAAUCAUAUGGACCCCAGACUGGCCCUGGUGAUUCCGUUAAGAAAAAAGAGGAAAAAUCAGUGCUUGUGCUCAUUGGUCAUUGGACAAAGGGUGUAUGCCAGAAUUUUUUCAAGAACAGUCUGAAUCUGACAUGGAAAAAAUGAAGAAAAACAGCCUUCCUGUUUAUAAAUCUACAUUCUGACAAAGGAUCAUUUCCUUGAGAUAGGUGGAACCAACAGUCAAAUACAAACACUUUUAAGAAAAGUAAAAAUCUGGCUCAGGUAAGAAAGAAAUUCAGGAGUUCUUAAAUUGCCCUUGGAGUUCUUGGAUUGCAUCAAACUGCUAAAAGACCUCAACAAAAACAGCGUCUUGAAAAUAAAAAUGAAAAUAUUCAGUGAAAAAAAAAUGAUGAAAGAGCCACUAAAAAUCUUCAAGCCUUUGAGCUGAAAUCUGGAAGUCAAUCUGUGGACUUUACUAGUAUGUCUUACUAAGUCAUCAUUUGUGUAUAAUAAAUACACUAAACUGUAAACACUUGUUAAAAUGUGUAUAAUUUUUAGAUAUAAUUUGUAGCUCACAGACUUCAAUAGUUUCAUGUAAUUUAAGUAAUAAUGAAAAUUUCCUGUUGUCUAGCUAGAUUAGAAACUAUUAUUGUCCAAUUUUGGAUAUUGUGAAAUAAUUCAGCUGUUGUUCAACUGAAUAUGAUAAAACUGUGGAUGAAAAUAAUUUGAUUUUUGUACCUUUGAAUGUAUUGAAUUAAUUUGUAAAAGCUGUUAUGAUACAAUGUUUGAUAUUUUAUAAAAGUUUUUAGCAUAUGCAAUCAAUAAAUGUAUCAACAUUUUUAUUUUAUUAUACUUUUUACCCUGCAAACUUCUUAAAAACAGAAUAGUAAUGAUCCAUUUAACUGAUACUAGGUUAGUGUCACAUUGUACUGGUAUAUCAUGUAUACUGAACUGUAAAUAAGAAACAUCUAAAUAGGUAAAAUCACAGCAUGAAUCAUUGGAUUAUGUAAGAAGUGCACUAUCUUGUGCUUUGGUAUGGUAUUAAUAAUAAAUGUUAAACUAUCAUUUUUUUUUUUUCAAAUUAACAAAGGAUAUGCUUGAGUGACUGUAUUUUGACUAGCAGUAAAAAUAAAAUGAUUUUUAAGCA